AGGUGAUGUGGCUGCACUAUCUGCCACCUCUUAGAUCACCAGAGGUGGUGCUGCUAUCUGGCUGCCUAGACAGGUGUUUCCUUAUUCCCUCAUUGCACACCUCCAGAACCUGAGCACUCAGUCAAGAGGACCACAGUCCCCUAUAGAAGAUAAUUAGUCUUCUCAAAGGGAUAUAUAAGAUUAGCUGCACUCACCUGCUAGAUAUUUAAGACAAGGUCUCAAGAUCCUUUUAUUUAUUUAUUUAUUUUUAUUUAUUUAUUUAUUUAUUUAUUUAUUUAUU
rnacentral:snRNA from 1 species